GUGAGGAAUAUUGUGCAAUGGAGGCAACUCUGACGCAGCCAUGCCGCGUGCAGGAAGAAGGCGCUACGCGUUGUAAACUGCUUUUAACCGGGAAGAAACCCCAGGACGUGUCCUGGGUUGACGGUACCGGAGGAAUAAGCACCGGCUAACUUCGUGCCAGCAGCCGCGGUAAUACGAAGGGUGCAAGCGUGAUCCGGAUUCAUUGGGAUUAAAGGGUGCGUAGGCGGAGCGUUAAGUCAGUGGUGAAAUCCUGCAGCUUAACUGUAGACUUGCCAUUGAUACUGGCGCUCUUGAGUGCGCUUGAAGUGGGCGGAAUGUGCCGUGUAGCGGUGAAAUGCUUAGAUAUGGCACAGAACACCAAUUGCGAAGGCAGCUCACUAAGGCGAUACUGACGCUGAGGCACGAAAGCGUGGGGCUCGAACAGGAUUAGAAACCUAGUAGUCC
rnacentral:rRNA from 1 species